ensembl:lncRNA
GACCACACUAAGCACUUUAAGCAAUAAACGUUUAUGCUUUUAAAAAUGGGAAAAAAUGACAUUUAAUAAGAGAAGAAAAUGAGAAUAUCAACCCCCAUAAAGCAAAUGGUGUGGAUCAGCACAGGCUCAGCUCUGCCUGAAGUGACUUGGGCUAUUCUGGUGACUUGAAAAUUCUUAUGUGAGGAGCCCUGAGUGGGAUUAUUUGCACCUAAAGCAAUUUCCAGAAUGUGAAUGGUGACCAGAACACACAGAGGCAGAAAAGCAAACGGGAAAUAGAUGGGAGAAAUCCUGCAGUGCUGGGAUGGGCAGAGCUCUGGUCACAUCAUUCACAGAAUAAAAAAUGCAGAAACUCUGAGUUCAGCCAUUCAGCAUAAGAAGUCGAUGGACAAUCUGAACUUGAGUGGAUCAAAAAGCAAUGAAAAUAUAACCAAAAUGGAACUACCUGCCCAAACACAGCAAGCGUGUAUCACAGCUAAAGAUGUCUGUAGCCCACUGAAGGCCCAUUUGAAGCACCAAAGGCUCUGCAGUUGGCUCCUUGGCAAUGCUGCAAUGGCAGCGAUGUGGCACUUCUGUGCUCAGGCUGCGUGGGGUCACGCAGGUCCUUAGGCUGCUGUAAUGUGGAGCACUGCGAAGUUUUUAAUUUCACUGUUCUGGAGGAGGAGGGGAGGAGCAGCAUUUCCCCAGAGGACUUUUUGCCCAGAGGUGGAGGCAUCUCACACGUCUGCGGACAGCUGAGGAGAAGCACGUGGUCCCUGUGCAGU